ensembl:lncRNA
GGCAGGGCUUUCCCAAACUUUAGCUACAUUCUGUUAGAGGAGAGGGUAGGCUGGGGGCUGUGUGACAAAUAGGCUCAACGGCUGCACUGACAUAUGUCUUGCUUAGGUGUCUACACCAUGCUAGGCCUCAGUGUUACAAUUCCAUGACCUGGAAAACUCAUGAAGAUUAGAAUACCAGGCGGGUGCUCAUUAAGAAUAGAACACCAGGUUAUGUGCUCAUUAAGAGCAGACAACCAGGUGGGUGCUCACAGCUGCUGCCAUUCACACCAACCGUUUCCCCCAUCCCACGAGUCUCCACAAUCUCAGCAUGGAUUUGGAUUCCAUGUUUCAAAACAGUGCAUGAAACAGUUCAGCAGUCCGUUCACUGUCUCCGCUUUGUUUGAGCUUCUUCAGAUUAGAUGAUGGCAUUGUGGAUGCUGAUGCAGCAGUCUCUCCCUCUUCGAUCUUUGAUUCUACAUUGCACAGUCCUUCUUAUUUCAGUAACACCAUGCCCAUGGCUAAUAUAUUUUGUAAUGUAACACAUGGCAAUCACAAAUGUGAGCAAACAAGAAGUGCACGCAAGCAUUAAUACCGUCAUGGUUAACAAGGGUCUUGCAUUGCCUCUUCUCAUAACCUGUAUACGUAGAUACAGAGAAUCCAAAGAUGACAAGGAUGGGAUUAUCCACUGAGUCUGAAUACGAUGUUCUUACCUGUGGGCGUUGGAACCUUCCCACGUACAAAAAUUCAGUGGUGCUUUGAGAAUGGGAAGUACUUGUCGUGUUGGUGGCAGAUCAACUAAGACUGGUUUUCAUGAGUAGUGAAGGGGCUUUACCGGAUCUUUGCUUUCUCUUUUUCCCUGCAACAAGGAGAAGGGUUCGUCAGGAGCUAUUGGAAAAGAGCAGAUAUUUUGUAUAGUGUCAAGACCAAUGUCUUGGGCUGUGUUGGUAUUCCUCUUUGAAAUAAAUCCUUCUGUUCUCCCACGGUGCAUACGUUUGCCUCAAUUGUCUGAUAUUUUCUCCCCUUCUGAUGGGCGUACAUUCUAUGCUUUCCCGGAUGGAGUAUAGUUCUAUCAGGAUUUGUUUUUACCACAGUGAUUGGGUAUCAGGUAUAGAUCAAAGUACCAUGUAUCAUUAGGACAAAUCUGAGGCUUUCUUGUUGAUAUGGUUAUAGGCGACACUAAUUUGAUUUCCUUUUCAGAUUCUUUAUUGUUCUUCAGAUUUCAACUGCUGAUGGUACUUGGGAAACAAAGAAUAGUACAAGUGCCAAGUGUUUUCUUACUCACUGCCCCUAACAGUGCACUCCUCACCGUGAGGAGGUGAGGCACUGGAACAGGUUGCCUAGAGAUGUGGCUGGUGCUCCGUCCCUGGGGACUGGACUCGAUGGCUUGCACAGGUCCCUUCCAACUCUAAAGAUUCCAUGAUUCCAUGAUUCUGAGGCUGUGGAGACCAGGUGGGUGUGAACCACUGUACCUAGAGGUGAGGGAUCAACCCUGUGCUCCGGGGAUGCCGACACACCUCAACCAUCUCGUCUCCUCUUUCAGUCCCCAUUCAACUCCAAUGUCCCCAUUGGAGCACAAUGUGCCCAUCACUCCCCACUGUCCCUAUCUCUCCAAUCAGUCCCCUGGAAGCCAUGGUCAACACAGGGACAACAGUGAAAAAGGCUUGUGAAAAAGAGGGUGGGAAUGGGACCCUGGGGACCUCCUUGUGCAGGGCAGCAUUACCUGUGUGAUCAACCAUGGAAAAAAGGGAUUACCUUGGGAUUGGAGAAGGAAGCACUCCCUCAUGGGAACAUCCAUGACAGCCCCUGGACACGUACAUGAUGAGGUGUUGCCACGGGGUUGGAGUGAACACAUUGCUCAGUGCAAGGAGGCAUCAUUCAAGUGAAUAUCAAUCCUGGGCCCAUCCCAGCAAGCAAACACCCCAAACCCAUUUCCCAUUCCCACACAGAGAGCAGCACAUUGCCAGGCAGCAUUUGGAAGGCACCGGCUGUGGAGGAAUCCAGUGUGAGUGCUGGGCAACCCAUAUCCACAGGGAUCUUCUCGCCAUGAGCUCCUGGUAGCAACCCUGCUCAUUCCUUCGUACAUGCUGAAUCCAUUCAUCAAGGGAAAAUUUCUCCACAGUGCUUGCAACCCACGACUCAUGAUGAAAAAUCCCACUUGAAUGGGGAUGGGGGGAACUCCACCUUCAACCAUUCAUGGCUGGACAAAAUGAUCUGUGGCCCUUCUCAAAUGGAACACAAACAAUGAGCACCUAACUUAUGGCAGUACUGUGUCGGCUUCUUUAAUUCUGUGCUUAUACUGUUUGUUUGUUUGUUUGUUUCUUUUGCUGGUUUUUACAAUUCUAUAAGUGAUUCCAUGCCCUUUAAUGUCCCUUCCAACCCAAGCACCUCUAUUUUAUGGCUCUUUGGCAGGCUGGAGAUGAACAGGAGCUUGGGAGGGGACAGAGACAAGAUAGCUGACAAAAAGAGAUAAAACGGACGCUGCAUACAGAAUGAGGUCACACUCAGUAAGAAGAGGUGGGGAAAAGAGGGAAAAGGGAGAAGUUUCCUCCCCCCAAGAGACAGGAAGCACAGCCCCUGCUAAGGGCUCUGUGUGUCCUGAAAGAAAAGCAGGGGCUCUGCAGAUGCGAGAAAUGCAUCAUGGGCUGCAUCACAGCCUCUCGCUGUGAGUAACUCUCUGUCAGCUGCAGAAACACACAGCACGUGUCCUAGGCUCGCAACACAAGCCUGUGACCAUCUGCACCCAGCUCACAGCAAAGCAGGAACCGUGAGGAGAGAUCUCCAAAAGAUGUGCGGGCAGGUGGGAUGGGCCAUGCCGUGUCCCCAUGUCCAUGUCCUCCUGCUGCUGGUGUUUGGUGAGUUGGGGCUGCUUUGGGUAGCAGGGAACCCUGCUUGGAGGAAGAAGCCCAGCACAAAGAGGCUUGAGAUGGUGCCGAGGGUGGAGGUAGAGUACGUGUGGGAUGGAGUCUUGCACCCAAAGCAUGAUUUUGGAAGUAGAGGAGACUGCAUCUGGAAAAGAAAACUUAUCCCAAAUGGAUUUAGGCUUGCUCAAAUGGAGACAGUGGUGAUACAGGAAGGGGAUACACUUGUGGAGUGGUGACUGCUGAAGACUGGAGACAUGGACAGAAACAUGUGGGUGUGCAGGACACUGUCCCUCUAACCAAACCCCUCUCUGCUCCACGGUGCAGGUACUGCUGUGAGCACCCAGGGCAUCUGCAGUUCCACAGCUGAUGGUGAGUGUGAGAAUGGGUCCAGAAAAUGAAGACAUGGUGGGGGAGGAGAUGGGGAGAGAGAAAGGCUUUAUUGCCUCUGAAUUCCCAAUAUCCACCCCAAGAGGGCAGAUUCUCCAUGACUUGGAAUGCAGUGUGUUUUGCAGCUAAUGAUGCUGGUGGAAUCCC